UACAGAGGUCCCAAGCGUUGUUCGGAAUCACUGGGCUUAAAGGGCGCGUAGGCGGCCGACCAAGUCCGGGGUGAAAGCCCCCAGCUCAACUGGGGAAGUGCCUCGGAUACUGGCCGGCUCGAGGGAGGUAGGGGCGGAUGGAACUUCCGGUGGAGCGGUGAAAUGCGUUGAUAUCGGAAGGAACGCCGGUGGCGAAAGCGAUCCGCUGGCCCUCUACUGACGCUGAGGCGCGAAAGCCAGGGGAGCAAACGGG
rnacentral:rRNA from 1 species